rnacentral:pre_miRNA from 1 species
UCACCAGCAGUGCGUCCUGCUGGUGACACAGCAAGCCUCACUGCUGGUGACA